GAUCCUCUCAGGGUGGUAUAGCUUCAGGCAAAUCUGUUCCUUCCGGGGCUGUUUGAGCUUGGAAACAGUUUAAAGAUUUCUACUACAAAUGAAGACAAAAUUUUAUCUGAAGUAAAAGAGAGAACAUCUGAGAACAUCAGAGAACAUCUGAACUUGCCUUUGGGGAUCUUGGCACAGGUGCAGCCCUAUUCACACUCAAGCCUGACAGCACAUAAUAGAACAGUUUCUACUUGCCCGUUGCCUCAGCUCUGUAUUCUUUUCUCCUCCAUUGAUUCUCAUUUGUUCAUCCCAGUGACAAAGCCAGUCGAACUGAAAAUGCACGAAGACCCAAGGACAGUCACUUAUUUCCUUGGAGCGCUAGAGUAAAUGUGUGUGUGUAUUUUCUUACAGGAAACAUAACUUCAGAGUAAAUCUAUGUAAAAAAGGUC